rnacentral:rRNA from 1 species
UAAUUGAAGAGUUUGAUCAUGGCUCAGAUUGAACGCUGGCGGCAGGCCUAACACAUGCAAGUCGAGCGGUAACAGGGGAAGCUUGCUUCYCGCUGACGAGCGGCGGACGGGUGAGUAAUGUAUGGGGAUCUGCCCGAUAGAGGGGGAUAACUACUGGAAACGGUAGCUAAUACCGCAUAAUCUCUCAGGAGCAAAGCAGGGGAACUUCGGUCCUUGCGCUAUCGGAUGAACCCAUAUGGGAUUAGCUAGUAGGUGAGGUAAUGGCUCACCUAG